GUUUAGGUAGUUUAAUUUAAAAAUAAUGAUUUGUGGUAUCAUUGACGCAUAUAUAUUGGUGAUUUAUGCCCUAAACU
rnacentral:tRNA from 1 species